AUUGAACGCUGGCGGCAUGCCUUACACAUGCAAGUCGAACGGCAGCACGGGAGCAAUCCUGGUGGCGAGUGGCGAACGGGUGAGUAAUAUAUCGGAACGUGCCCAGUCGUGGGGGAUAACGCAGCGAAAGCUGUGCUAAUACCGCAUACGAUCUACGGAUGAAAGCGGGGGAUCGCAAGACCUCGCGCGAUUGGAGCGGCCGAUAUCAGAUUAGCUAGUUGGUGGGGUAAAGGCCCACCAAGGCGACGAUCUGUAGCUGGUCUGAGCGGACGACCAGCCACACUGGAACUGAGACACGGUCCAGACUCCUACGGGAGGAAGCAGUGGGGAAUUUUGGACAAUGGGCGCAAGCCUGAUCCAGCAAUGCCGCGUGCAGGAUGAAGGCCUUCGGGUUGUAAACUGCUUUUGUACGGAACGAAACGGCCCUUUCUAAUACAGGGGGCUAAUGACGGUACCGUAAGAAUAAGCACCGGCUAACUACGUGCCAGCCGCCACCGUAAAAC
rnacentral:rRNA from 1 species